rnacentral:tRNA from 1 species
CUCUGGUGACUCAGAUAGUAAAGAAUCUGCCUGUAAUGCAGGAGACCCAGGUUCCAUCCCUGGAUCAGAAA